rnacentral:lncRNA from 1 species
AGUACGCAUUCUACCUUUUCCUACAAUGAAUCCACCAGCAGAAAUUCCUGUACACAUCUUAUCAACAAAGAAUUUGAACCUCAAAGAGUGGCUCAAAGAGGUCAGGAGGCACCUUCAACACUUUUAUUGGAGAUCUCCUUGUCUAGAUCAUCAGAUUCUCACUGUGUUACCUAGGCUGCAGUGCAGUGGUGCGAUCUCAACUCACUGCAACCUCUACCUCCUGGGUUCAAGCAAUUCUCCUGCCUCAGCCUCCCAAGUAGCUGGGAUUACAGAGCUCAUGGUUUUUAAACAACUUGUGGUAAAAAUCUGGUGGAAAAGAUAACAACAGUAUAUGAUAUGGCAGAGUUGCACAGAAGAAUCAGAACAUUGUUUUAGAGAAACGUUGGGCAAUUAAUUAAGCCAGCUGAUUAAGUUUUAAAGGAGGAAGAUGGAACUUGGAGAAGACAUACAGGCUGAAGAAAAAAAAAUAUUUUGGAAGUGAUCAGCACAUUCUAAUUGACCAUGGAUGCUCUCUGCAUUCAUGUGGUAACCCAGGGAGAGUAUGGAGUGAAAAGAGGAUCACCAAAGAAACUUGGGGUAUCUCAACAUUUAGGAAGUGUGCAGAGAAGAUGAGAUCAUUAAAAUGUACCAAGAG